rnacentral:rRNA from 1 species
ACAUGCCUACAUCAUAGCGUUAAUGCAUCAGAUCCCAUUAGAACUCCUCAGUUAAGCAUGCUCAGGAUAGAAUAGUAGAUAUGCGUGACUGCCUAGGAAGUCCUAUUGUUUUACAUGCC